GAUGAACGCUGGCGGCGUGCCUAAUACAUGCAAGUCGAGCGAACGGACGAGAAGCCUGCUUCUCUGAUGUUAGCGGCGGACGGGUGAGUAACACGUGGAUAACCUACCUAUAAGACUGGGAUAACUUCGGGAAACCGGAGCUAAUACAGGAUGAUAUUUUGAACCGCAUGGUUCAAAAGUGAAAGACGGUCUUGCUGUCACUUAUAGAUGGAUCCGCGCUGCAUUAGCUAGUUGGUAAGGUAACGGCUUACCAAGGCAACGAUGCAUAGCCGACCUGAGAGGGUGAUCGGCCACACUGGAACUGAGACACGGUCCAGACUCCUACGGGAGGCAGCAGUAGGGAAUCUUCCGCAAUGGGCGAAAGCCUGACGGAGCAACGCCGCGUGAGUGAUGAAGGUCUUCGGAUCGUAAAACUCUGUUAUUAGGGAAGAACAUAUGUGUAAGUAACUGUGCACAUCUUGACGGUACCUAAUCAGAAAGCCACGGCUAACUACGUG
rnacentral:rRNA from 1 species